GGGUUGUGAGGUUAAGCGACUAAGCGUACACGGUGGAUGCCCUGGCAGUCAGAGGCGAUGAAGGACGUGCUAAUCUGCGAAAAGCGUCGGUAAGGUGAUAUGAACCGUUAUAACCGGCGAUGUCCGAAUGGGGAAACCCAGUGUGAUUCGUCACACUAUCGUUAACUGAAUACAUAGGUUAACGAGGCGAACCGGGGGAACUGAAACAUCUAAGUACCCCGAGGAAAAGAAAUCAACCGAGAUUCCCCCAGUAGCGGCGAGCGAACGGGGAGCAGCCCAGAGUCUGAAUCAGCUUGUGUGUUAGUGGAACGGUCUGGAAAGUCCGACGGUACAGGGUGAUAGUCCCGUACACCAAAAUGCACAGGCUGUGAACUCGAAGAGUAGGGCGGGACACGUGGUAUCCUGUCUGAAUAUGGGGGGACCAUCCUCCAAGGCUAAAUACUCCUGACUGACCGAUAGUGAACCAGUACCGUGAGGGAAAGGCGAAAAGAACCCCGGCGAGGGGAGUGAAAAAGAACCUGAAACCGUGUACGUACAAGCAGUGGGAGCACCUUCGGGUGUGACUGCGUACCUUUUGUAUAAUGGGUCAGCGACUUAUAUUCUGUAGCAAGGUUAACCGUAUAGGGGAGCCGCAGGGAAACCGAGUCUUAACUGGGCGUUAAGUUGCAGGGUAUAGACCCGAAACCCGGUGAUCUAGCCAUGGGCAGGUUGAAGGUUGGGUAACACUAACUGGAGGACCGAACCGACUAAUGUUGAAAAAUUAGCGGAUGACUUGUGGCUGGGGGUGAAAGGCCAAUCAAACCGGGAGAUAGCUGGUUCUCCCCGAAAGCUAUUUAGGUAGCGCCUCGUGAAUUCAUCUUCGGGGGUAGAGCACUGUUUCGGCUAGGGGGUCAUCCCGACUUACCAACCCGAUGCAAACUACGAAUACCGAAGAAUGUUAUCACGGGAGACACACGGCGGGUGCUAACGUCCGUCGUGAAGAGGGAAACAACCCAGACCGCCAGCUAAGGUCCCAAAGUCAUGGUUAAGUGGGAAACGAUGUGGGAAGGCACAGACAGCCAGGAUGUUGGCUUAGAAGCAGCCAUCAUUUAAAGAAAGCGUAAUAGCUCACUGGUCGAGUCGGCCUGCGCGGAAGAUGUAACGGGGCUAAACCAUGCACCGAAGCUGCGGCAGCGACACUAUGUGUUGUUGGGUAGGGGAGCGUUCUGUAAGCCUGCGAAGGUGACCUGUGAGGGUUGCUGGAGGUAUCAGAAGUGCGAAUGCUGACAUAAGUAACGAUAAAGCGGGUGAAAAGCCCGCUCGCCGGAAGACCAAGGGUUCCUGUCCAACGUUAAUCGGGGCAGGGUGAGUCGACCCCUAAGGCGAGGCCGAAAGGCGUAGUCGAUGGGAAACAGGUUAAUAUUCCUGUACUUGGUGUUACUGCGAAGGGGGGACGGAGAAGGCUAUGUUAGCCGGGCGACGGUUGUCCCGGUUUAAGCAUGUAGGCUGGUUAUCCAGGCAAAUCCGGAUAAUCAAGGCUGAGGUGUGAUGACGAGGCACUACGGUGCUGAAGUAACAAAUGCCCUGCUUCCAGGAAAAGCCUCUAAGCAUCAGGUAACAUCAAAUCGUACCCCAAACCGACACAGGUGGUCAGGUAGAGAAUACCAAGGCGCUUGAGAGAACUCGGGUGAAGGAACUAGGCAAAAUGGUGCCGUAACUUCGGGAGAAGGCACGCUGGUGUGUAGGUGAAGUCCCUGCGGAUGGAGCUGAGACCAGUCGAAGAUACCAGCUGGCUGCAACUGUUUAUUAAAAACACAGCACUGUGCAAACACGAAAGUGGACGUAUACGGUGUGACGCCUGCCCGGUGCCGGAAGGUUAAUUGAUGGGGUUAUCCGUAAGGAGAAGCUCUUGAUCGAAGCCCCGGUAAACGGCGGCCGUAACUAUAACGGUCCUAAGGUAGCGAAAUUCCUUGUCGGGUAAGUUCCGACCUGCACGAAUGGCGUAAUGAUGGCCAGGCUGUCUCCACCCGAGACUCAGUGAAAUUGAACUCGCUGUGAAGAUGCAGUGUACCCGCGGCAAGACGGAAAGACCCCGUGAACCUUUACUAUAGCUUGACACUGAACAUUGAGCCUUGAUGUGUAGGAUAGGUGGGAGGCUUUGAAGCGUGGACGCCAGUCUGCGUGGAGCCAACCUUGAAAUACCACCCUUUAAUGUUUGAUGUUCUAACGUUGGCCCCUGACCGGGGUUGCGGACAGUGUCUGGUGGGUAGUUUGACUGGGGCGGUCUCCUCCAAAAGCGUAACGGAGGAGCACGAAGGUUAGCUAAUCCUGGUCGGACAUCAGGAGGUUAGUGCAAUGGCAUAAGCUAGCUUGACUGCGAGCGUGACGGCGCGAGCAGGUGCGAAAGCAGGUCAUAGUGAUCCGGUGGUUCUGAAUGGAAGGGCCAUCGCUCAACGGAUAAAAGGUACUCCGGGGAUAACAGGCUGAUACCGCCCAAGAGUUCAUAUCGACGGCGGUGUUUGGCACCUCGAUGUCGGCUCAUCACAUCCUGGGGCUGAAGUAGGUCCCAAGGGUAUGGCUGUUCGCCAUUUAAAGUGGUACGCGAGCUGGGUUUAGAACGUCGUGAGACAGUUCGGUCCCUAUCUGCCGUGGGCGCUGGAGAAUUGAGGGGGGCUGCUCCUAGUACGAGAGGACCGGAGUGGACGCAUCACUGGUGUUCGGGUUGUCAUGCCAAUGGCACUGCCCGGUAGCUAAAUGCGGAAGAGAUAAGUGCUGAAAGCAUCUAAGCACGAAACUUGCCCCGAGAUGAGUUCUCCCUGAGACUUUAAGUCUCCUGAAGGAACGUUAAAGACGAUGACGUUGAUAGGCCGGGUGUGUAAGCGCAGCGAUGCGUUGAGCUAACCGGUACUAAUGAACCGUGAGGCUUAACCUUACAACGCCGAAG
rnacentral:rRNA from 1 species